rnacentral:rRNA from 1 species
GAUGAACGCUGGCGGCGUGCUUAACACAUGCAAGUCGAACGGAAAGGCCCAAGCUUGCUUGGGUACUCGAGUGGCGAACGGGUGAGUAACACGUGGGUGAUCUGCCCUGCACUUCGGGAUAAGCCUGGGAAACUGGGUCUAAUACCGGAUAGGACGAUGGUUUGGAUGCCAUUGUGGAAAGUUUUUUCGGUGUGGGAUGAGCUCGCGGCCUAUCAGCUUGUUGGUGGGGUAAUGGCCUACCAAGGCGUCGACGGGUAGCCGGCCUGAGAGGGUGUACGGCCACAUUGGGACUGAGAGACGGCCCAGACUCCUACGGGAGGCAGCAGUGGGGAAUAUUGCACAAUGGGCGCAGGCCUGAUGCAGCGACGCCGCGUGGGGGAUGACGGCCUUCGGGUUGUAAACUCCUUUCGCUAGGGACGAAGCGUUUUUGUGACGGUACCUGGAGAAGAAGCACCGGCUAACUACGUG